UACGUAGGAUCCAAGCGUUGUCCGGAUUUACUGGGUGUAAAGGGUGCGCAGGCGGACUGGUAGGUUGGGGUGAAAUCUCAUCGCUUAACGGUGAAACUGCCUUAGAUACUGCCAGUCUUGGAUAAGCGAGAGGUUCGUGGAAUUCCGAGUGUAGCAGUGAAAUGUGUAGAUAUUAGGAAGAACACCAGUGGCGAAGGCGGCAUCCUGGACCGACACUGACGCUGAGGAGCGAAAGCCAGGGGAGCAAACGGG
rnacentral:rRNA from 1 species